UGUGUUGUUUGUCCAAGUACCUCAUAUUGCGAAUAUAAAACAUAGAAAAGAAAAAAAAAAUAGUGGUCCCUGGAUCUAGUCUUUAUGCUGCUGAAAAGUACGUAAAUUGAAACAGCCUGCAGAUAUCCAAGAGGGAGAUUUCAGAAGGCUUCUUAAGAAGAUAUUCCAUUUUAGAGUCCAACAACUCCAGAAAUUAAGAAUUUAUCACCCCACCCUCAGAGGGUCUUCUCAGAAGGCAACUUGGAAUGAGAACAACAAAGAAGAUACCUAUUGAAUCACCAGGUUCCAAGAAUUCAGCUACCUCAGUGUCUUUCCCAGGAAUAAGCCACUGUGCGCAAGAACAAUGAAUUGAGUUCAUCCCUUUGAAAAGUACACACUGAGUGCCUGUUAUGUCAUCAUACCACUGCUGGCAUUGUAACGGGACCUCCAAGGAAGACUCAAUAGACCCAGUUAAGGAUCCUUGUUCUAGAUCCUAAACCUGAAUCCCCAGAGACCUCAUCUUCAGCCAAGGGAAGCUUGAAGUAUUUUGAGAAAUGUGGUGAGGGUGGAAAGAAGCAAAGAGUUUCAUUCCAUUCUAAAAGAUCCAGCCAUCCAAGCUACUUCUGGAAGUUUUGAUCUGGAAAUCACAGCCCUCUACUCCUCCGGAUCAAUGGAUAGUACAGCUCCAACUUCCAGCUCAUACACCGCUGGCG
rnacentral:lncRNA from 9 species